rnacentral:misc_RNA from 1 species
UAAUAAGUGUUUUAUAGCACUUUUUAAAUCCAUAUCCACCUUGUGUGCAAUGUCAGUCGAUCUUCUUCAUGGAGAUCGACCAAACAUCAACCUUUAUUUUUUAACUCUUUGUCUGAAAAAUAUUAUGAAUAAACAAUUCAAAAUA